GAUGGAAGAACGCAGCGAAAUGCGAUAACUAGUGUGAAUUGCAGAUUUACGUGAAUCAUCGAGUCUUUGAACGCACAUUGCGCUCCUUGGUUUUCCAGGGAGCAUGUCUAUCCGAGCGUCGUUGCAACUCUCAAGCCCAGCUUGGUCCUGGAGGGCGUCCCGUUCCGCGGGGCCCCUCCCAAACGCAACUCACGUCGUGCCCAUUCGGUCGGAGCGCAGCAGAUUUGCAGCCCCGUCCGGCGUCGUCGCGAGCCGCCCCCGUGCGGACUUCUCAAGGUUGACCUCGGAUUAGAUAAGGAUACCCGCUGAACUUAAGCAUAUCAAUAAGCGGAGGA
rnacentral:misc_RNA from 1 species